GAAAUGCGAUAAUUAAUGUGAAUUGCAGAAUUCAGUGAAUCAUCGAGUCUUUGAACGCACAUUGCGCCCCCUGGUAAUCCGGGGGGCAUGCCUGUCCGAGCGUCAUUGCUGCCCUCAAGCACGGCUUGUGUGUUGGGCUUCCGUCCCUGGCAACGGGGACGGGCCCAAAAGGCAGUGGCGGCACCAUGUCUGGUCCUCGAGCGUAUGGGGCUUUGUCACCCGCUCCCGUAGGUCCAGCUGGCAGCUAGCCUCGCAACCAAUCUUUUUAACCAGGUUGACCUCGGAUCAGGUAGGGAUACCCGCUGAACUUAAGC
rnacentral:misc_RNA from 1 species